rnacentral:rRNA from 1 species
AAACGACUCUCGGCAACGGAUAUCUCGGCUCUCGCAUCGAUGAAGAACGUAGCGAAAUGCGAUACUUGGUGUGAAUUGCAGAAUCCCGUGAACCAUCGAGUCUUUGAACGCAAGUUGCGCCCGAAGCCAUCCGGUUGAGGGCACGUCUGCCUGGGGGUCAAUC